AACGCACAUUGCGCCCUUUGGUAUUCCGAAGGGCAUGCCUGUUCGAGCGUCAUUAUCACCCUUCAAGCCCUGUGCUUGGUGUUGGAUGGCCGGUCGAGCGAUCGACCCCUCCUAAAGACAAUGACGGCGGCCUGUGGUUCCCCCGGUACACUGAGCUUUUAACUGAGCACGUAUCGGACAAGGGCACCCGGGACCCGGUCCUCUCCUUUAACUAGGAAACUUCUAAGGUUGACCUCGGAUCAGGUAGGAAUACGCGCUGAACUUAA
rnacentral:misc_RNA from 1 species